rnacentral:rRNA from 1 species
GUGGGGAAUAUUGGACAAUGGGGGAAACCCUGAUCCAGCGACGCCGCGUGGGUGAAGAAGGCCUGCGGGUUGUAAAGCCCUUUCGGUAGGGACGAAAACUCUCGACCUAACACGUCGGGAGCUUGACUUAACCUACAAAAGAAGCACCGGCUAACUCUGUGCCAGCAGCCGCGGUAAUACAGAGGGUGCGAGCGUUAAUCGGAAUUACUGGGCGUAAAGCGCACGUAGGCGGCUUGGUAUGUCGGGUGUGAAAUCCCCGGGCUCAACCUGGGAACUGCAUCCGAAACUGCCUUGCUAGAGUAUGGGAGAGGGAAGCGGAAUUUCCGGUGUAGCGGUGAAAUGCGUAGAUAUCGGAAGGAACAUCAGUGGCGAAGGCGGCUUCCUGGACCAAUACUGACGCUCAGGUGCGAAAGCGUGGGGAGCAAACAGGAUUAGAUACCCGAGUAGUCC